GGUGUUGUAGCUCAGUGGUAGAGUGCUUGCCUAGCAUGCAUGAGGCCCUGAGUUCAAUCUCCAGUACUG
rnacentral:tRNA from 1 species